ACUGAUGAAUGAGAGGUGUCUUUGGCUUUCGGGACUGGAGAGUAGCUUUAAUAUGUCAUCUGAGAGAAGGCCGGGGAGGUUCUGCUGGAGCAGGGUCGGAAGAAAUGCGACGGAUGGUGUGUGGCAGGGAGAGACCAUUGGGCAUGGGAAAGAGUGAUGACCAUGGAGGACAUGAAUCUUCUGCCUUGGGAGCUGCUCACAGUGAUGAAACAGGAGACUCUGCAUCACUGUCACUCUGGAUUUCCAAAGCAGGAAUUUAUACCACAGCCCACCGGUCAAAUGUCACUUACAGGCAGAUCAAUUACACCGUGUGAGUGAGGAAUGGGAAUAGAAAAGAAAUGUCGACAAGGCAUGAGAAGAGAUCAGAGUGAGAUUUGUUGCUGUGACUAAUCAUUCAUUCCAGCAGAGCCGCCUCAGUCUUUUAUGGCCCUCCUCAGUGUGUGUUUCACACAUUACCAGAAGCUCACGUCCUGGUUCCCUUGGCCUGCAGCUGUUUGUUUUGACAUCGACUGCUUCUGAGCUAAAAGGGCAUCUUUAGGCCACAACCAGUGGCCAGUGUGAUUAAAGUUUAAACAACUCA